CCUCCUGGUGUCUGUUUAGAUUGUCUCUCACCACUGCACCCACCAGGAUAUUUGCAUAUUGCUCCAUAGGGAGGAGCUUCCCUGCAAGUCCAACAUAAAAGCUCAGCUGUAAGUUGCCUGGACUGACCAGGACUCCUUACUCUCAAAAUGAGGUGCCCUGCUCAUCUCCUGGGGCUGCUCAUGCUCUGGAUCCCAGGGUCAAAUGGGGAUGCUGUAUUGACUCAGAAUCCAGGUUCUCUGACCCUCACCUUCGGAGAGCCAGCCUCCAUCUCCUGCAGUUCUAGUCAGAGUCUUCUGCAUAACAGUGGAAACACCUGUCUUGGUUCUUGCAGACGCCAGGCCAGUCUCUACAACUCUUCAUCAAUAGGAUCUCCAACCAAUAUCCCGGUGUCUCACACAGGUUCAGUGGCAGUGGAUCAGGCACAGAUUUCACACUGGCAAUCAGCAGGGUGGGGCUGAGGAUGUUGGAGUUUAUUACUGCUUUCAACAUACACAUGGUCCUCCCACACUGAUACACCCCUGAACUAAAACCUUCCUUCUGAGUGAUACAGCUGUGCUCAUGUGUUGCUGUUCUGGGAAAUCAGCAGAGCAGAUUGUGUAAGUCUACCAAGAAUGAAAAUUGUGUUGUUAUGAUGAAAGUGACUGAGUCCAGAAGAAGACAAUUGGAUAAUUAUACUACAUACAAUCUACAAGGACUAGUAGAAUAAUCAUAGAAGUACAAAUAUCAAGAGACUUCAGACAA